rnacentral:rRNA from 1 species
CAGCCGCCGCGGGAAUACGUAGGGUGCAAGCGUUAAUCAGAAUUACUGGGCGUAAAGCGUGCGCAGGCGGUUUGUUAAGACGGAUGUGAAAUCCCCGGGCUCAACCUGGGAACUGCAUUCGUGACUGGCAAGCUAGAGUAUGGCAGAGGGUGGUGGAAUUCCACGUGUAGCAGUGAAAUGCGUAGAGAUGUGGAGGAACACCGAUGGCGAAGGCAGCCCCCUGGGCCAAUACUGACGCUCAUGCACGAAAGCGUGGGGAGCAAACAGGAUUAGAUACCCGUGUAGUCCCUGUCUCUUAUAU